rnacentral:rRNA from 1 species
GAUGAACGCUGGCGGCGUGCCUAAUACAUGCGAGUCGAGCGAACAGAUAAGGAGCUUGCUCCUUUGACGUUAGCGGCGGACGGGUGAGUAACACGUGGAUAACCUACCUAUAAGACUGUGAUAACUUCGGGAAACCGGAGCUAAUACCGGAUAACAUAUUGAACCGCAUGGUUCAAUAGUGAAAGGCGGCUUUGCUGUCACUUAUAGAUGGAUCCGCGCCGUAUUAGCUAGUUGGUAAGGUAACGGCUGACCAAGGCAACGAUACGUAGCCGACCUGAGAGGGGGAUCGGCCACACUGGAACUGAGACACGGUCCAGACUCCUACGGGAGGCAGCAGUAGGGAAUCUUCCGCAAUGGGCGAAAGCCGGACGGAGCAACGCCGCGUGAGUGAUGAAGGUCUUCGGACCGUAAAACUCUGUUAUCAGGGAAGAACAAAUGUGUAAGUAACUGUGCACAUCUUGACGGUACCUGAUCAGAAAGCCACGGCUAACUACGUGCCAGCCGCCGCAGUAA